rnacentral:rRNA from 1 species
AGGACGAACGCUGGCGGCGUGCUUAACACAUGCAAGUCGAGCGGAAAGGCCCUUCGGGGUACUCGAGCGGCGAACGGGUGAGUAACACGUGAGCAACCUGCCCUUAGCUCCGGGAUAGCUCCGGGAAACCGGAAUUAAUACCGGAUACGACCACGGCCGACAUCUGCUGUGGUGGAAAGGAUUCCGGCUAAGGAUGGGCUCGCGGCCUAUCAGCUAGUUGGUGGAGUAACGGCCCACCAAGGCGACGACGGGUAGCCGGCCUGAGAGGGCGACCGGCCACACUGGGACUGAGACACGGCCCAGACUCCUACGGGAGGCAGCAGUGGGGAAUAUUGCGCAAUGGGCGAAAGCCUGACGCAGCGACGCCGCGUGGGGAUGAAGGCCUUCGGGUUGUAAACCCCUUUCAGCAGGGACGAAGCGAAAGUGACGGUACCUGCAGAAGAAGCGCCGGCUAACUACGCGCCAGCAACCGC